UGUCACCGGUUCUCGUAAGAUCACCAAAGUUAAGCAACGUUGAGCUAGGUCACUACCAAGAUGGGUGAUUGCUUUGGAAUACCAGGUGCUGUAAG